rnacentral:rRNA from 1 species
AAGGGCGCGUAGGCGGAUUAUCAAGUCUCUUGUGAAAUCUAAUGGCUUAACCAUUAAACUGCUUGGGAAACUGAUAGUCUAGAGUGAGGGAGAGGCAGAUGGAAUUGGUGGUGUAGGGGUAAAAUCCGUAGAUAUCACCAAGAAUACCCAUUGCGAAGGCGAUCUGCUGGAACUCAACUGACGCUAAGGCGCGAAAGCGUGGGGAGCAAACAGGAUUAGAUACCCUGGUAGUCCACGCCCUAAACGAUGUACACUAGUUGUUGGGAUGCUAGUCAUCUCAGUAAUGCAGCUAACGCAUUAAGUGUACCGCCUGGGGAGUACGGUCGCAAGAUUAAAACUCAAAGGAAUAGACGGGGACCCGCACAAGCGGUGGAGCAUGUGGUUUAAUUCGAAGAUACGCGAAGAACCUUACCUGGGCUUGAUAUCCUAAGAACCUUAUAGAGAUAUGAGGGUGCUAGCUUGCUAGAACUUAGAGACAGGUGCUGCACGGCUGUCGUCAGCUCGUGUCGUGAGAUGUUGGGUUAAGUCCCGCAACGAGCGCAACCCACGUAUUUAGUUGCUAACGGUUCGGCCGAGCACUCUAAAUAGACUGCCUUCGUAAGGAGGAGGAAGGUGUGGACGACGUCAAGUCAUCAUGGCCCUUAUGCCCAGGGCGACACACGUGCUACAAUGGCAUAUACAAUGAGACGCAAUACCGCGAGGUGGAGCAAAUCUAUAAAAUAUGUCCCAGUUCGGAUUGUUCUCUGCAACUCGAGAGCAUGAAGCCGGAAUCGCUAGUAAUCGUAGAUCAGCCAUGCUACGGUGAAUACGUUCCCGGGUCUG